UACGUAGGGGGCGAGCGUUGUCCGGAAUUAUUGGGCGUAAAGAGCGUGUAGGCGGUUCGGUAAGUCUGCCGUGAAAACCUGGGGCUCAACCCCAGGCGUGCGGUGGAUACUGCCGGGCUAGAGGGUGGUAGAGGCGAGUGGAAUUCCCGGUGUAGCGGUGAAAUGCGCAGAUAUCAGGAGGAACACCGGUGGCGAAGGCGGGACUCUGGGCCGAUACUGACGCUGAGGAGCGAAAGCGUGGGGAGCGAACAGG
rnacentral:rRNA from 1 species